UACGAAGGGUGCUAGCGUUGUUCGGAAUCACUGGGCGUAAAGCGUGCGUAGGCGGCUUGGCCAGUCUGAUGUGAAAGCCCGGGGCUUAACCCCGGAACUGCAUUGGAAACUGCCUUGCUGGAGGACGGAAGAGGAGAGUGGAAUUCCUAGUGUAGAGGUGAAAUUCGUAGAUAUUAGGAGGAACACCAGUGGCGAAGGCGACUCUCUGGUCCGUUUCUGACGCUGAGGCACGAAAGCGUGGGGAUCAAACAGG
rnacentral:rRNA from 1 species